AACCUCCGCAAUGUGAGAAAUCGCGACGGGGGGAUCCCAAGUGCCAUUCUUAACGGGAUGGCUUUUCAUUAGUGUAAAGAGCUUUUGGAAUAAGAGCUGGGCAAGACCGGUGCCAGCCGCCGCGGUAACACCGGCAGCUCUAGUGGUAACAAUUUUUAUUGGGCCUAAAGCGUCCGUAGCCGGUUUAAUAAGUCUCUGGUGAAAUCCUGUAGCUUAACUGUGGGAAUUGCUGGAGAUACUAUUAGACUUGAGACCGGGAGAGGUUAGAGGUACUCCCAGGGUAGAGGUGAAAUUCUGUAAUCCUGGGAGGACCGCCUGUUGCGAAGGCGUCUAACUGGAACGGUUCUGACGGUGAGGGACGAAAGUUAGGGGCGCGAACCGGAUUUAGAUACCCGGGUAGUCCUAACUGUAAACGAUGCGGACUUGGUGUUGGGGUGGCUUUGAGCUGCUCCAGUGCCGAAGGGAAGCUGUUAAGUCCGCCGCCUGGGAAGUACGGUCGCAAGACUGAACUUAAAGGAAUU
rnacentral:rRNA from 1 species